rnacentral:rRNA from 1 species
CCUACGGGCGGCAGCAGUGGGGAAUAUUGGACAAUGGGGGGAACCCUGAUCCAGCCAUGCCGCGUGUGUGAAGAAGGCCCUCGGGUUGUAAAGCACUUUCAGCGAGGAAGAACAGCUGGUCGUUAAUACCCAGCGGGCAUGACAUCACUCACAGAAGAAGCACCGGCUAACUCCGUGCCAGCAGCCGCGGUAAUACGGAGGGUGCGAGCGUUAAUCGGAAUUACUGGGCGUAAAGCGCGCGUAGGUGGCUUGAUAAGCCGGUUGUGAAAGCCCCGGGCUCAACCUGGGAACGGCAUCCGGAACUGGUAAGCUAGAGUGCGGGAGAGGGAGGUAGAAUUCCAGGUGUAGCGGUGAAAUGCGUAGAGAUCUGGAGGAACACCAGUGGCGAAGGCGGCUUCCUGGACUGAUACUGACGCUGAGGUGCGAAAGCGUGGGUAGCAAACAGGAUUAGAUACCCGUGUAGUC